GACCGACAUCAGGGAUUCGUUACGCGAGCCGGCACCCACCGCCAGAUAGGCAUGCAUACCGAGAUCUUUCAUCUGCUGCUCGCCUAUGACCCGGGUGGCCAGGCUGGUGCUGUAGGCAUCCGCCAGCUGGCGGGCCUGGGAGGCCAGAUACGCCGCGUUACAGAUAUUGGGCGGCAUAUUGCCGAGGUCUUUGGU
rnacentral:antisense_RNA from 1 species